rnacentral:rRNA from 1 species
CCUACGGGAGGCAGCAGUGAGGAAUAUUGGUCAAUGGACGAGAGUCUGAACCAGCCAAGUAGCGUGAAGGAUGACUGCCCUAUGGGUUGUAAACUUCUUUUAUAUGGGAAUAAAAUGUUCCACGUGUGGGCUUUUGUAUGUACCAUAUGAAUAAGGAUCGGCUAACUCCGUGCCAGCAGCCGCGGUAAUACGGAGGAUCCGAGCGUUAUCCGGAUUUAUUGGGUUUAAAGGGAGCGUAGGUGGAUUGUUAAGUCAGUUGUGAAAGUUUGCGGCUCAACCGUAAAAUUGCAGUUGAAACUGGCAGUCUUGAGUACAGUAGAGGGGUGCGGAAUUCGUGGUGUAGCGGUGAAAUGCUUAGAUAUCACGAAGAACUCCGAUGGCGAAGGCAGCUCACUGGACUGCAACUGACACUGAGGCUCGAAAGUGUGGGUAUCAAACAGGAUUAGAUACCCGAGUAGUC